rnacentral:misc_RNA from 1 species
GAUGAAGAACGUAGCGAAAUGCGAUAAGUAAUGUGAAUUGCAGAAUUCAGUGAAUCAUCGAAUCUUUGAACGCAUCUUGCGCUCCUUGGUAUUCCUUGGAGCAUGCCUGUUUGAGUAUCAUGAGCAAAUCUCAAAGUCAAUUCCUUUUGUUAAUUCAAUUGGUUUUGCUUUGGACUUGGAGGUCUUGCAGAUUUUCACAGUCUGCUCCUCUUAAAUGCAUUAGCUGGAUCUCAGUAAUUAUGCUUGGUUCCACUCGGCGUGAUAAGUAUCACUCGCUGAGGACACUGUUAAAAAGGUGGCCAGGAAAAUACUGAUUGAACCGCUUCUAACGGUCUAUUAAGUUAGACAAUUACCCUUAAGUUUGAUCUCAAAUCAGGUAGGACUACCCGCUGAACUUAAGAAUAUCAAUAAGCGGAGGA